rnacentral:rRNA from 1 species
UGAGCAACCUGCCCCUGGCUCUGGGAUAACUCCGGGAAACCGGAGCUAAUACCGGAUACGAGACCGAUUGGCAUCUUUACGGUCUGGAAAGUUUUUCGGCCAGGGAUGGGCUCGCGGCCUAUCAGCUUGUUGGUGGGGUAACGGCCCACCAAGGCGACGACGGGUAGCCGGCCUGAGAGGGCGACCGGCCACACUGGGACUGAGACACGGCCCAGACUCCUACGGGAGCA